rnacentral:rRNA from 1 species
AUGCUAGUCGAACGAUGAAGCUGGAGCUUGCUCUGGUGGAUUAGUGGCGAACGGGUGAGUAACACGUGAGUAACCUGCCCUGAACUCUGGGAUAAGCGUUGGAAACGACGUCUAAUACCGGAUAGGACCUUGGAUCGCAUGAUCUGGGGUGGAAAGUUUUUCGGUUUGGGAUGGACUCGCGGCCUAUCAGCUUGUUGGUGAGGUAAUGGCUCACCAAGGCGUCGACGGGUAGCCGGCCUGAGAGGGUGACCGGCCACACUGGGACUGAGACACGGCCCAGACUCCUACGGGAGGCAGCAGUGGGGAAUAUUGCACAAUGGGCGCAAGCCUGAUGCAGCAACGCCGCGUGCGGGAUGACGGCCUUCGGGUUGUAAACCGCUUUUAGUAGGGAAGAAGGGCUUCGGCUUGACGGUACCUGCAGAAAAAGGACCGGCUAACUACGUGCCAGCAGCCGCGGUAAUACGUAGGGUCCGAGCGUUGUCCGGAAUUAUUGGGCGUAAAGAGCUCGUAGGCGGUUUGUCGCGUCUGCUGUGAAAACUAGAGGCUCAACCUCUAGCCUGCAGUGGGUACGGGCAGACUUGAGUGCGGUAGGGGAGAAUGGAAUUCCUGGUGUAGCGGUGGAAUGCGCAGAUAUCAGGAGGAACACCGAUGGCGAAGGCAGUUCUCUGGGCCGUAACUGACGCUGAGGAGCGAAAGCGUG